rnacentral:rRNA from 1 species
AGGACGAACGCUGGCGGCGUGCUUAACACAUGCAAGUCGAGCGGAAAGGCCCUUCGGGGUACUCGAGCGGCGAACGGGUGAGUAACACGUGAGUAACCUGCCCCAGGCUUUGGGAUAACCCUCGGAAACGGGGGCUAAUACCGGAUAUUCAUUUCUCGUGGCAUCACGGGCUGUGGAAAGUUUUUCGGCUUGGGAUGGGCUCGCGGCCUAUCAGCUUGUUGGUGGGGUGAUGGCCUACCAAGGCGACGACGGGUA